AUACGGAGGGGGUUAGCGUUGUUCGGAAUUACAGGGCGUAAAGCGCACGUAGGCGGACUGGAAAGUUGGGGGUGAAAUCCCGGGGCUCAACCCCGGAACUGCCUCCAAAACUUCCAAUCUAGAGAUCGAGAGAGGUGAGUGGAAUUCCAAGUGUAGAGGUGAAAUUCGUAGAUAUUUGGAGGAACACCAGUGGCGAAGGCGGCUCACUGGCUCGAUACUGACGCUGAGGUGCGAAAGCGUGGGGAGCAAACAGGAUUAGAAACCCCGGUAGUCC
rnacentral:rRNA from 1 species